UGGGGAAUAUGGACAAUGGGCCCAAGCCUGAUCCAACCAUGCCCGGUGAGUGAUGAAGGCCCUAGGGUUGUAAAGCUCUUUCACCGGUGAAGAUAAUGACGGUAACCGGAGAAGAAGCCCCGGCUAACUUCGUGCCAGCAGCCGCGGUAAUACGAAGGGGGCUAGCGUUGUUCGGAUUUACUGGGCGUAAAGCGCACGUAGGCGGACUUUUAAGUCAGGGGUGAAAUCCCGGGGCUCAACCCCGGAACUGCCUUUGAUACUGGAAGUCUUGAGUAUGGUAGAGGUGAGUGGAAUUCCGAGUGUAGAGGUGAAAUUCGUAGAUAUUCGGAGGAACACCAGUGGCGAAGGCGGCUCACUGGACCAUUACUGACGCUGAGGUGCGAAAGCGUGGGGAGCAAACAGG
rnacentral:rRNA from 1 species